AGUGAACGCUGGCGGUAGGCCUAACACAUGCAAGUCGAACGGCAGCACAGGAGAGCUUGCUCUCUGGGUGGCGAGUGGCGGACGGGUGAGGAAUACAUCGGAAUCUACUCUGUCGUGGGGGAUAACGUAGGGAAACUUACGCUAAUACCGCAUACGACCUACGGGUGAAAGCAGGGGACCUUCGGGCCUUGCGCGAUUGAAUGAGCCGAUGUCGGAUUAGCUAGUUGUCGGGGUAAAGGCCCACCAAGGCGACGAUCCAUAGCUGGUCUGAGAGGAUUAUAAGCCACACUGGAACUGAGACACGGUCCAGACUCCUCCGGGAGUCAGCAGUGGGGAAUAUUGGACAAUGGGCGCAAGCCUGAUCCAGCCAUACCGCGUGGGUGAAGAAGGCCUUCGGGUUGUAAAGCCCUUUUGUUGGGAAAGAAAGCCAGCUGGCUAAUACCCGGUUGGGAUGACGGUACCCAAAGAAUAAGCACCGGCUAACUUCGUGCCAGCAGCCGCAGUAA
rnacentral:rRNA from 1 species